UAUGACUCGAUAGAGAAGUCCACCAACUCUGGAAUUCAGCCAAGAUCUUAUGGCUCUCCGAGGUAUUGGGGCUAUAUUUAAAACCCCUGGUCCUGGUAUCUUCGUCACUCCCAUGUAUGACUUUGGAUAUGCUUUCUGUUCCUGACCUCUUCCUGGAAGCUAUCCUGGCAUCAACUUUGUGAAAUUGAAUAAAGUACUUAGAACUGCA